CCGCCGUCUGCCCUCCCCCGCUCCCCGCAGUGUUUCUCGGGUGCCGAGUGCCGUCCCGCUCGCUCUGGCCUGCGCGUUUGCCGCCCGCGGGGCGGAUGCGGCGGGGCAGCUGCGGGGGAGCCGGGCCUGGACCUCCGGGGGUGUAGAGGGAAGCAGCUCAGGUGCUGAGGCAUAAGAGGACAAGGGCAGGACGAAGGAGGGAGUCCACCCAGAGCUCCUCUCUGCCUCACCAUCUUUUUCUGGAAGACUCAGUGGGGUUUCUUUCAACCCUGCGAGUUUCUGUCCACUGAUUUAUCUCAAGAGGAACCCGAGAGCUAAACUGAAAAUUUGUGGCUUUACAGCCUGGAGCAAGUGACAGCUUCUCCCAGAACCUCAGUUUUUCCACCAGUGAAAUGGGGGUCUCUGUCACCAGGGCUGGCAUGCAGUGGCACGAUCAUAGCUCUCUACAGCCUCAAGGCGCUGGGAGUCCAGGGGUGAGCCAUGCACCCGGCCAGUAAGUUUUCUUUAACAUCACGCAGUGCCACCACCUUCUGGGACAAGGCCCCGCUGCCCUUGCCCAGGUGUGCGGAAAGAUACCUGCACAGUGCGUUCAUCAAACCUGCGUGCCGUGCCUCCACCACCCACAGCUCCAGAGGUGCCUACUCCCUGAUAGUAAAAUGAUCUGCUUGACAAAGAGCCUUUCGAUCUGAUAGGAUUCAGACCUGUGGCACCCAGAUGUCCCCGCACCUGGAAUAUGUGAUAUUUUGGGAACACUCGCAGGACGAUGAAAUAUUCUCUGAAGGGAAACAAAGACGUAGAAACUGAGGCAUAGAGCAGUUAUGUAACAUGCCUAAGACCUGGCUCCAGAAUUGUGCAAACUGGCUCUAGAGUCGAGAAUGCUUAAUAUUACACUAUCACCUCUCUGUUAAGUAAUGUUCUAUUCCUAUAUAAAUAGAUCUCCCUGACCCUCUAGUUCCUCUGCCAUAAAAUGGGGCCGUAACACCUACUUCAGGAUAUAUUUGAGAAAUAAAUGAGACAAAGUAUGUGAAGUGCCUGAGACACAGUAUGCGUGAAAUAAAGUAACUGACCAUCGCCCAUGUCCUGGGCAUGUUACCCAGGCCGGGCUGCAGAGGCAUGCUGCGCACGGAUCCUGGUCUGGCAAGGGCACAGCCUCUGAGGAAUGCUCACAGAGAAGCUGUGUUUGUGGUGUCCAAACUGCCCAGCAGUGACUCAGGCUGACGUUGCCCCAAGAGGGCCCCUCAGUGGAAAGACCAUGCACUUCUGCACAGGAAAAGCCGAGGCCCCACGCGUGAGCAAGAUUCCUGAAGUGUGGCCAGCCUGGCCUGGAGGCACUGCGGCUUGGAGUUGGAUAGACCUGCACAUCCGGGCUCUGCCCCUGGCUCUGGCCAAGGGUGUGUCACCCCACAUGCAUUGAUUAACCUCAGAGAUUUCGUUUCCUCAUUUUUCAAUGUGGACAGAGAUACUUAAACGGUUAUUUUGAGGCUUAAAUGAGACAAUGUAUGUAAAGAGUUUAGCCUAGUUCUUGGCACAUUCAAAGUGUUCAGUAGCUAUUACUGGUGUUCUUUAAUAGUCAGUUCUAAUUGUUAGAAAGUUACUGAGCUGGACUUGGUCUCCUGUAACUUCCUGGCAUUGCUGUGAAAUCUGCAUACUCCUUCAGUGUGUGUGCCAGGGACUGGGCCAGGUCUGUGAGCACAGUGGAAAAUAAGGACCAGUCCCUGUUUAUGGGAGAAGCACUUCCUCCACAUGAGGGUCAUUGGGAUGUGUAAUGAUAGCUAUCACGGAUUCCUUGAUUUACCUCAUUCCCAGGUUCAACUUCCCUCUCCUGGAUCCAUUUAGCUACACAUCUUGCAUCUUGUUUGUUGAUUUCAAUUAAGUUUCAAAAAAAUACUUAUAUACAAACACAAUGAAAUACUUAUAUACAAACACAAUGAGUGAGAUGUGCAACGUUUGGGGGAUGGUCACGCCUGAGGCUUGGACUUGAGGGGAGAAGGGAGCAAGGGCAAUAUACGUAAUCUUAACACUUGUACCCCCAUAAUACGCUAAAAUAAAAUAAAAUAAAAACUCCUCCUUCAGGAAGCCUUCCCAAAUUGCACUAAGCAAUUGUAUCACCCGUUUUUGUUUUUUUUUUUAAUUUCAGCAUAUUGCAGGGGUACAAAUGUUUAGGUUGCACAUAUUGCCUUUG